GCAAGAUAGCCCACGCACUCAAACCCCCCUCUGUCUGGUCCUUUAUCACCUGUUUGUGUCAAGUCCCGCUCAAGGCUGAGCACUCAACCCCCCCUGGGCCAACAAGGCAGCUUGCAGACCCAGAGGCCCCAUUAGAUUUGGGCUAUAAAAACUCCCUCCUGCCCGGCCCCCCUCUCUCUCCCUCUCUCUCUUGCUCUUUCUCUCUUGCUCUCUCUCUUGCUCUUUAUCUUUCUUACGCGCGCUCUCUGUCUCUCUCUUGCUCUUGCUCUCUCCCUGUUCAUCUCUUCUCUUUUCUCUCUCUCUCUUUCCUUCUUUCUUUUCUCUUUGUUGCACUGCUGCAAUAAAGAUCUCUUGGUCGCUCCGAGUGUUGUGGUCACUUUCCUUUCAUUGGUGCCGAAACCCGGGAGAGGGUUAAAACCCACUUUUGGGUCCCUCUUCCUUCGGAAGUGCCACUCACCGGAUGGCCUGAACCCAGGCCUGAACCCAUUUUCUCGAUCGCCAGAACUCCAUCCACCACCGACCUUCGAUUGGAGGGGUCCCGAAAAGAAAAGCCUUGGCCAAGGUCUCCCACGGCUCCAGCUCCAUCCAGGACGAGAGCUUCGACUGUCAGGAUUUGGUGACGACCAAUCUCUGCAGCUCGAACCUGCCACUAAGGCACUCCUAAGGCUCUAGCGGGAACGCCCCUUUUGCCAAUAAAUCAGUUUCCUCCUUCUCUCUUA